rnacentral:rRNA from 1 species
AGUGAACGCUGGCGGUAUGCCUAACACAUGCAAGUCGAACGGCAGCACAGUAAGAUCUUGCUCUUACUUGUGGCGAGUGGCGGACGGGUUAGGAAUACAUCGGAAUCUACUUUUUCGUGGGGGAUAGCGUAGGGAAACUUACGCUAAUACCACAUACGACAUACGGUUGAAAUCAGUUGAUCUGCGGACCUUGCCCGAUUGAAUGAGCCGACGUCGGAUUACCUAGUGGGCUGGGUAACGGCCCACCAAGGCGACGAUCCGUAGCGGAUCUGAGAGGAUGAUCGGCCACACAGGGACUGACACACGGCCCAGACUCCUACGGGAGGCAGCAGUAGGGAAUCUGCCGCAAUGGACGAAAGUCUGACGGAGCAACGCCGCGUGAGCGAAGAAGGCCUUCGGGUCGUAAAGCUCUGUUGUGAGGGAAGAACAAGUAUCGUUCGAAUAUGGCGGUACCUUGACGGUACCUAACCAGAAAGCCACGGCUAACUACGUG